rnacentral:rRNA from 1 species
AACACGUGGGGAACCGUGCCCCAUAGUCUGGGAUACCACUUGGAAACAGGUGCUAAUACCGGAUAAGAAAGCGGAUCGCAUGAUCAGCUUUUAAAAGGCGGCGUAAGCUGUCGCUAUGGGAUGGCCCCGCGGUGCAUUAGCUAGUUGGUAAGGUAAAGGCUUACCAAGGCGAUGAUGCAUAGCCGAGUUGAGAGACUGAUCGGCCACAUUGGGACUGAGACACGGCCCAAACUCCUACGGGAGGCAGCAGA